UCCCAACGCGUGAGGCUCAAACAAUUCUGACGUGGCAAAUAGUAAAAUCAAAAUUUGCCUAGUAUCAAUAAAGAAAAAAAUAAGACGCAGUGGCACCAUAUCCCCACCUUUGUUAUCUCUCUGUCAAGCUACAAGAAAGAUGACCAUGGCAAAACUUCGAGACCACCGGAAAAAGAUAGAGUUGAUCCGGAGUUUAUCGGGAAAUUAACAACCAACUGCAAGUGCAAGACGCUCUUCAACGUGAUACAAUUUAUUUGGCGAAAGAAUCACAUUUGCGACAAGUCGGAUUUUCAAGAAAAGAUUUUGAGCGAAACGGGACUUGAGUUUUGGGCGAGCGUAAGACGUACAUAAGGUACAGACGCCGGUGAUCCACCACUGUAGGCUCCACUUCUGCUAUUUCGGAGUACUCCCUUUGAUUCGGAGUCCACGUUUGGUAUAUAUAUCUUUUGCUAUGUAUAUAUUUCUGUAUAUUUGACUAUUUGGGUACGGCGGGGCCCUGUCCCGCCAUAUGAUUCUGUCGGUCAGUUUAGAGGUCUGUGGACAUGUCUGUGGGUUAUGGUCUUUCUGUAUGGUUAUGUGUAUAUGUUGUUUGGGCGAUCCCAUACGCCGAGGCGGCCGAUCCGCAUAUGUUUAUACGUUACUUUGUUA